ACGGGUGGUAAUGCCGGAUGCUCCAACUCUUCGCAUGGUGGGUCGGGAAAGAUUUCAUCGGUAUGGGAUGGGGUCGCGUCCUAUCAGGUAGUCGGCGGGGUAACGGCCCACCGAGCCUACGACGGGUAGCCGGCCUGAGAGGGCGACCGGCCACAUUGGGACUGAGAUACGGCCCAGACUCCUACGGGAGGCAGCAGUGGGGAAUAUUGCACAAUGGGCGCAAGCCUGAUGCAGCGACGCCGCGUGCGGGAUGACGGCCUUCGGGUUGUAAACCGCUUUUGAUCGGGAGCAAGCCUUCGGGUGAGUGUACCUUUCGAAUAAGCACCGGCUAACUACGUGCCAGCAGCCGCGGUAAUACGUAGGGUGCAAGCGUUAUCCGGAAUUAUUGGGCGUAAAGGGCUCGUAGGCGGUUCGUCGCGUCCGGUGUGAAAGUCCAUCGCUUAACGGUGGAUCUGCGCCGGGUACGGGCGGGCUGGAGUGCGGUAGGGGAGACUGGAAUUCCCGGUGUAACGGUGGAAUGUGUAGAUAUC
rnacentral:rRNA from 1 species